CAAGGCUUGACAUGUCGGAAGUAGCAACCCGAAAGGGAAGCCACCUGUUGAGUCAGGAACCGUCACAGGUGCUGCAUGGCUGUCGUCAGCUCGUGCCGUGAGGUGUUAGGUUAAGUCCUGUAACGAGCGCAACCCUCGUUGCCAGUUGUUUUCUCUGGCGAGACCGCCCCGCAAAAUGGGGAGGAAGGUGGGGAUGACGUCAAGUCAGCACGGCCCUUAUGCCUUGGGCUACACACACGCUACAAUGGGUGGUACAAUGGGUAGCAAUAGAGCGAUCUGGAGCCAAUCCUGUAAAGCCAUCCUCAGUUCGGAUUGCAGGCUGAAACCCGCCUGCAUGAAGUUGGAGUUGCUAGUAACUGCAGGUCAGCAUACUGCGGUGAAUACGUUCU
rnacentral:rRNA from 1 species